AUGAAAUAAAAAGAGUAUUUUUAGCGCUGAUAAUUAUUUAUUAUUUAACCAUUUUUGCAAAAACGAAAGAUUUGAUAAGCGUUUUGUUGUUAAGCCGUUGCGUUUCUCGGUGGCUGUAGACCAGCUUUUGAAAAAAGGCACCGAGGUACCAACUAAAUGGCAGUAUUUUUUCGAAAGUCCAUAAAGUUUUGAGUAAACAGUUUACAUUUUCUCAACAU